rnacentral:rRNA from 1 species
UACGAAGGGGCUAGCGUUGUUCGGAAUUACUGGGCGUAAAGCGCACGUAGGCGGAUUGUUAAGUUAGGGGUGAAAUCCCAGGGCUCAACCCUGGAACUGCCUUUAAUACUGGCAAUCUCGAGUCCGAGAGAGGUGAGUGGAAUUCCGAGUGUAGAGGUGAAAUUCGUAGAUAUUCGGAGGAACACCAGUGGCGAAGGCGGCUCACUGGCUCGGUACUGACGCUGAGGUGCGAAAGCG